rnacentral:sRNA from 1 species
UAUGGUUAAGGGAGUGUCUGUUCUUAGCACCUACGACAAAAGCUUAGGGCGCAGACACAUGCACUGUACAAAGGGCUCUAGGUGAGUGCUAGCUAACUUACUCGAAGUUUAGGCUGGUAUGGACUGAAGCUUGUCGGGAUGCCGGUCUUCAGGGAUGACACCUAUAUUACCCGCUCGACGCUAGGCCCUGGAAGGGUUUUUGUUGAUAGGAUGGGUUCGUCCGUGAUGCCGCAAUACUAUAGCUACUAAAUUUGAAGUAUUAAUUACUAGUUAUAUGAAUUUACUUAAAUAGAUAUAGAAAU